rnacentral:tmRNA from 1 species
GGGGUUGACUGGAUUUGACGGCAAGAUGAAAUGGUACGUAAGCACGCGGAGCUGGUCGAUGGGAGGCUCCCUAAUCUCUUCUGUCGGAAAAUUAAUUGGCAACAAUGAGUAUGCUCUCGCUGCCUAAUCGAAGUACAGUAGAUUAACGGCUUAAUUCCCUUACAAGGUGAGGGAACGGGACGUUGCUCCAAGGAUGUUGUUCCGAAUCCGAGGGUCAAGCAACGCAGGUAAAUCGGAAAUAGCCUGUCGGGCGCUCCGACUGUCAGGUGAAAAUUUAGGAGAUAAGGCAGUGGUUGGUGGCUUGGGUCUUGCCAUUGCACGAAAACGAAGUCCAAGAUAAGCGUGUAGAAAGCGUAUGGUUUCCUUGUGCGGACGAGGGUUCGACUCCCUCCAGCUCCACUA